rnacentral:rRNA from 1 species
AUUGAACGCUGGCGGCAGGCUUAACACAUGCAAGUCGAGCGGGGGAGGUUGCUUCGGUAACUGACCUAGCGGCGGACGGGUGAGUAAUGCUUAGGAAUCUGCCUAUUAGUGGGGGACAACAUUCCGAAAGGGAUGCUAAUACCGCAUACGCCCUACGGGGGAAAGCAGGGGAUCUUCGGACCUUGCGCUAAUAGAUGAGCCUAAGUCGGUUUAGCUAGUUGGUGGGGUAAAGGCCUACCAAGGCGACGAUCUGUAGCGGGUCUGAGAGGAUGGUCCGCCACACUGGGACUGAGACACGGCCCAGACUCCUACGGGAGGCAGCAGUGGGGAAUAUUGGACAAUGGGGGGAACCCUGAUCCAGCCAUGCCGCGUGUGUGAAGAAGGCCUUUUGGUUGUAAAGCACUUUAAGCGAGGAGGAGGCUACUUAGAUUAAGACUCUAGGAUAGUGGACGUUACUCGCAGAAUAAGCACCGGCUAACUCUGUGCCAGCAGCCGCAGUAAAAC